rnacentral:rRNA from 1 species
GACGAACGCUGGCGGCGUGCUUAACACAUGCAAGUCGAACGGUAAGGCCCUUCGGGGUACACGAGUGGCGAACGGGGGAGUAACACGUGGGUGAUCUGCCCUGCACUUCGGGAUAAGCCUGGGAAACUGGGUCUAAUACCGGAUAGGACUCCGGACUGCAUGGUCUGGGGUGGAAAGCUUUUGCGGUGUGGGAUGGGCCCGCGGCCUAUCAGCUUGUUGGUGGGGUGAUGGCCUACCAAGGCGACGACGGGUAGCCGGCCUGAGAGGGUGACCGGCCACACUGGGACUGAGAUACGGCGCAGAGUCCUACGGGAGGCAGCAGUGGGGAAUAUUGCACAAUGGGCGCAAGCCUGAUGCAGCGACGCCGCGUGAGGGAUGACGGCCUUCGGGUUGUAAACCUCUUUCAGCAUCGACGAAGCGAAAGUGACGGUAGGUGCAGAAGAAGGACCGGCCAACUACGUGCCAGCCGCCGCCGUAA